ensembl:lncRNA
GGGAAAUACCAGAAUUUGGCAGAGUUGAGAUGUUUGAGUAGAUAGGGACCACCAAGUGAUCUGGGAAAUGAAAUCUCUUGAGAUCCUGCUCUUGCUGUUCUGCUUGUUUUGUACGUAACACUUAUAAUGUAAUUCCCAGAGCACUGUGAUUUCUGUGACUUUCUUCCCACUUCUGGAGAAGGGCUAGAGAAGACCCCACAAGACAAAAACACAGAAGUGCUACAUUCAACUUUUAACAGGGAUUUUCUUUUCCUUUUUAUUUCUAUUCACAGAAGCAAAGCGAAACAAAACAAAUGUUUAAACAAGGCUGCCCUCUUCAUUGUUCCCUGCUCUCCCUCAGGCAAAUGCUGCAUGGGUGGGAAAAACGAAGCUUUGCAUUAUGACAGUGGUUAUUUUCUCACCUCCAGCCUACCUCCACCCAUAUUCAGGGUUUUAGCAGUCUGAGGCGAUCAAUCAGGUGGAAUGAUCCUGUCAACUGCUUUACCCUGGAAAUCAGGUGGCAAGGAGAGACAGGUAUCAUGGAGGAAACUUCAGAGAUCAUGCAGAUUUCAGUAGUAGAUUUCUUAUUCUGUUUGGCAGAAAUGUCUGCUUUGCAGAGUUGAUUCAAAGUGCUAUUGAAUUCUCCCUCAACCCCUGCCAGAACAUGAGAGCCACAUUGGCCGUGCUGGAGAAAGGCAUAAAAUGCCUUCUAUUCUAAGUACAUAUGGACCCCUGGCAACUGCAGAGGUAAUCAUUAACUCUGACUUCCCUUUGUUCUCCUGCCAGCUUGCUAAGUGCGUAACUGUGCUUGUGGCAGUCAGGGGGUUCUGACCCACUCAUACUAAAAGAUGUAGUGGAGAACGAAAGAGGUCACGGACUAAGCCUCUCCAUGAAAUGGAGAGCAACACUUGUGCUGCAGCAACCUUGUAAUGUGAAAGAUCAUCCUGAGCAGACUUUGGGAGGAGUGCUGGACAAUGUGGGAAGAUCUCCAUCUUAACUCUGUAUGAGAGCAAGAGGGCAAAAAGAAUGAAAUGAAGCAGAAAAAGAAUCUCCUCUAACUCAGAAGUCACCUGAAUUGCAAGAGCUGCACUUCUGCUUUCACUCUGCCGUGGAUUUGCAUUGUCUGAUGCCAGAGACAGGAGUCCUGACACUCACCAGCCUGCCUUGGAGAAGAGUAGACAGUUUGUACCUCAGAAACCACUGGCCCUGAAAGAAUAGGUACAUUAAAUAUUAGCAGUUUCCAGUCCUCACCCUGGCCUAGCUGUCAGCGAGUUCAUUUGCUUGUCUGGAGGGACCACAGGAAUGUAGGAGUCAAGGGGAAAUAUCACAAGAGUGAUGGACUGUGAGGCUCCCAGGUUCCCUCUGCCAUUGCAGAGCUCUUCGACCUAUUGUAAUCGUCACCAGACAAAAUGAGUCUUUUUCCUUCCAGACAGAUUGGAGGCAAAGGACAGUGCUUUAGAGUCAAUGUUACAUUUAAGAAACAACAUGCAAUUCAAACCUUGUAAUUAUCAUGAUUUUUCAGACUGGCAGUGAAGAUGGGAGCAAGAAGGCAGCAGUGAACCUGGGAGAAAGGAGAGACUUUUUUUCAUUUUUUUCAGCUUCUAUUUCUUCCCCACUGACAAAAGAAAGAAAAUAAGGACUUUCAUGGAAAACUAAAUUAAGGUGAAGGCUGAUAUCUUAAUAGGCUCUGCCUAGAUCUGUGCAUCUCAAUUCUUGAUGGGCCUCCAGUUUGUUCCUGUACUGAUUGCUGUCCUCGGUGCUGCAGUUUUUUGAGGUGAUCCCUUCCUUGUCGUGUGAAGCUUUCCCAGCCUGAUUUUAAGUCUGGUCAGGUUCCUCCUGCUUCCUCCCAUUCUGGUGGAGAGCAGAGAGCUGGAGCACUUACCCAGGCACUGCGUAUAAUCCCACAGACAGGGAGGAUAAUAACUGCUUGUGAGGUUAGGCAGAGAAAAUUAGCAGUGGAUCUGAGGUCAAAACUGCCUAAAUAGAAGGAAAAAGGAAAGAAGCCUGGAGUGGAGGAUCAUGCUGAUGUGAAUGGUGAUGGCAUAUGGCAGAGUGCUGCACUGCUCUGAAAACCUCUGCACAGGCAGUGUCUCUAAGCAGUACCUUGAACAUUUCUCCCAUUUCCAACACAUUGAUUUCUGCUUGACAAGGAAAUCAAGAAUCAGGCUUUAAAUGAAAUGGAGUCCUGAUGUUUCCAUGGAAAUCUCUCGUGUCUAUCAAAUUAAUGGAGAGCAAGCUGCAUUUUGCAUAAAAGUAAACAAAAUGAGGCUGCUGCAGAGGCAGUACCUUUUCCAUUUGGACUAAAAAUCCCAUAUUCUCUCUUCAUGGACUUUGUCC